rnacentral:rRNA from 1 species
AUCGUUAGCUGGUCUGAGAGGAUGGCAGCCACACUGGAACUGAGACACGGUCCAGACUCCUACGGGAGGCAGCAGUGGGGAAUAUUGGACAAUGGGGGCAACCCUGAUCCAGCAAUGCCGCGUGUGUGAAGAAGGCCUGAGGGUUGUAAAGCACUUUCAGUGGGGAGGAGGAUUGAUAGGUUAAGAGCUAAUUGAUUGGACGUUACCCACAGAAGAAGCACCGGCUAACUCCGUGCCAGCAGCCGCGGUAAUACGGAGGGUGCGAGCGUUAAUCGGAAUUACUGGGCGUAAAGGGUGCGUAGGUGGUUAUAUAAGUUAUCUGUGAAAUCCCUGGGCUCAACCUGGGCAGGUCAGAUAAUACUGUAUGACUCGAGUAUGGGAGAGGGUAGUGGAAUUUCCGGUGUAGCGGUGAAAUGCGUAGAGAUCGGAAGGAACACCAGUGGCGAAGGCGGCUACCUGGCCUAAUACUGACACUGAGGCACGAAAGCGUGGGGAGCAAACAGGAUUAGAUACCCUGG